rnacentral:rRNA from 1 species
CAGCAGCCGCGGUAAUACGGAGGGUGCAAGCGUUAUCCGGAAUCAUUGGGUUUAAAGGGUCCGUAGGCGGUCUUGUAAGUCAGUGGUGAAAGCCCAUCGCUCAACGGUGGAACGGCCAUUGAUACUGCAGGACUUGAAUUAUUGGGAAGUAACUAGAAUAUGUAGUGUAGCGGUGAAAUGCUUAGAGAUUACAUGGAAUACCAAUUGCGAAGGCAGGUUACUACCAAUUGAUUGACGCUGAUGGACGAAAGCGUGGGUAGCGAACAGGAUUAGAUACCCGCGUAGUCCCUGUCUCUUAUAA